GGAUGUGAUGGUGAUCUGGCUACGACAUCUGUCACCCCAGAUGAUCGCCAGGGUUGAUUCGGCUGAUCUGGCUAGCUAGGCAGGUGUCCCCUUCCUCCCUCAUGGCUCCAUGUGCUUCGUCCCUCCCGACGCCGUGUGCCCAGUUGAAGAUGACAGCCUUCCCUGAAUAGAGACACACCAGCCUUAGGUGGAGGGUAUAUGAGUAGCUGCUCUCCUUUGCUAGAACCUCCAAACAAGCUCUCAAGGUCCAUUAUGUUCCUGAUAGAAAUAGCCAGUGACAGUGGAGAGAAGGAUCUGUUAAAAGUCUAGGCCCAUCAUGUCUGUAUUGGAAUCCCAGGACUU
rnacentral:snRNA from 1 species